rnacentral:rRNA from 1 species
AUUGAACGCCGCAGGCCUAACACAUACAAGUCGAGCGGCAGCGGGAGGAAGCUUGCUUCCUCGCCGGCGAGCGGCGGACGGGUGAGUAAUGUCUGGGAAACUGCCCGAUGGAGGGGGAUAACUACUGGAAACGGUAGCUAAUACCGCAUAACGUCUACGGACCAAAGUGGGGGACCUUAGGGCCUCACACCAUCGGAUGUGCCCAGAUGGGAUUAGCUGGUAGGUGGGGUAAUGGCUCACCUAGGCGACGAUCCCUAGCUGGUCUGAGAGGAUGACCAGCCACACUGGAACUGAGACACGGUCCAGACUCCUACGGGAGGCAGCAGUGGGGAAUAUUGCACAAUGGGCGCAAGCCUGAUGCAGCCAUGCCGCGUGUGUGAAGAAGGCCUUCGGGUUGUAAAGCACUUUCAGCGAGGAGGAAGGCGUUGUAGUUAAUAACUGCAGCGAUUGACGUUACUCGCAGAAGAAGCACCGGCUAACUCCGUGCCAGCAGCCGCGGUAAUACGGAGGGUGCAAGCGUUAAUCGGAAUUACUGGGCGUAAAGCGCACGCAGGCGGUGUGUUAUGUCAGAUGUGAAAUCCCCGGGCUUAACCUGGGAACCUGCAUUUGAAACUGGCAGGCUAGAGUCUCGUAGAGGGGGGU